ACGAACGCUGGCGGCAUGCCUAACCCAUGCCAGUCGCACGAGACCUUCGGGUCUAGUGGCGCACGGGUGCGUAACGCGUGGGAACCUGCCCUUAGGUUCGGAAUAACUCCCCGAAAGGGGUGCUAAUACCGGAUAAUGUCUUCGGACCAAAGAUUUAUCGCCUUUGGAUGGGCCCGCGUUGGAUUAGCUAGUUGGUAGGGUAAAAGCCUACCAAGGCGACGAUCCAUAGCUGGUCUGAGAGGAUGAUCAGCCACACUGGGACUGAGACACGGCCCAGACUCCUACGGGAGGCAGCAGUGGGGAAUAUUGGACAAUGGGCGAAAGCCUGAUCCAGCAAUGCCGCGUGAGUGAUGAAGGCCUUAGGGUUGUAAAGCUCUUUUACCCGGGAUGAUAAUGACAGUACCGGGAGAAUAAGCUCCGGCUAACUCCGUG
rnacentral:rRNA from 1 species